rnacentral:lncRNA from 1 species
AUGAGGUACUCGGUGGACGAGGUUCAGGCAAUAUUAUAACUUCUCCCUGAUCUCUUCAAUCUUUCUGGGGCCUAUCUGAGAUUUGAAUACAUGCCUAAGACAGCUCCAAAGCACUAUAUAUGAUCAUGAUCACUAACUAAGCAUAAGCAUAAGCAUAAGCUAUUCAAAAAUUAAAAAAUAAAAAAAACAGCUACUGCUUUUCAAUUAAUGCUACCCAACUUAAUUUCAACUAAUAUUAAACUCGCAUUACUUAACCACACACACCCCCCCUUCUCUUUCUC